ensembl:misc_RNA Metazoa_SRP Metazoan signal recognition particle RNA
GCUGGGCGUGGUGGUGCAUGCCUGUAAUCCCAGCUACUUGGGAGGCUGAGGCAGAAGAAUUGCUUGAACCCGGGAAGCAGAGGUUGCAGUGAGCCGAGAUUGCGCCACUGCACUCCAGCCUGGGUGACAGAGUGAGACUCUGCCUCAA